AUCUGUCUGUCAGUCUGCAACAUUACUCAAAAACGGACAAUCUGAUUUGGAUGAAAUUUUCAGGGAAGGUCGGAAAUGACACAGGACGAAGGGAUUAGAUUUUGGCAGCGAUGCGGCUUAUAGUCUUGAUCCACGGAUUUGUUAAGGAUUUCCUAUUGCAGGAGGUGGAAGCUGAUCAGUCAUCUCUAAACUCCUCACACAUCUUUACCUGCACAUGAGGAAAAUCACUCCUGUAGAAUGCAGAUGUUCAGAGGGAGAUGAUGCCACAUCUGGUCCAGCAGAUGGAAGGUCUUGAAGUUCUCUGACUGGCCUCGACUGAAGAUGGUCGUCUCACUGGAUUUAAGAUGCACAAUGAGGGACGUCUGCAGCAACUGAGAAAGAGUCUCACCACAUCCUUACUUGAGGAAAAAGACUUUAUUGAAGACUACAAUGAGAAAAACUAUCAGACAGCAGACGGCUGCAUUUAAGGUGAGCUCUGAACAUUUGAUCUGGAACAGGAAUUCAAUAACGGCAGCAUGAGCUUCAUUUCAGUCUGUAGCUGCUGAAUUCAUGGAUGAAUCAUCUGGCACUAGAGAAGAAGACCAUCAAACAUCCACGUCAGCUGAUGGAGGUCCAAGAGUCUCACUGAACAACCAACCUACAGAGUGAAGACCUCAAAUCUGAUUGGACGGCCUCCUAUUCAGCCACAUGUGUGAACAAAUGCCUCUAAGCUGAUUUAUUUUCUAAAAUAAAUCUAGUUUGAGUCCUAA